ensembl:ncRNA C10F3.17 ncRNA
UCUGUAUCCUUCGUUUUGUUAUUUACAAAGUUUCUCUUUUUCUGAAUUCCUCUUUGCUCUAUAUGAAAAAUUAUCCCCUCGAGUAUGAUUCAAAAGUCAUAAGUCGACUUUAUCGUCAGCCUUGUUUUUUUGAGACAAAGAGUUGGGGACCACCCAUUCAUCUUUUCAUAUGAAACGUGUCAAAAACAAGAAGAUAAAGGGUUUGAGUUCUAAGU